AUAUAUAACAACAUUCAGUAGACAACAGCAUCCUUUUUUUAUCUCCAGAAGUUUCCAGAAAUAAAAAUACUUGUUUUGGGAUAGCUGAAGAGAGGACUUUGAGCCUGGCAGUAGGUAGGAUGGAAAUGUCCCUUCAGUUGAUAGCCCCUGUGAAACAUCACCCUGCUUCCUCCAGGCCAUGCCAUCAGCUCAGAACACAGUACAGAGCAGGUUGUGUUAACUCUCCAUAAAGGAUCCCUUCAAGGCUGCAGAGCAGAAACCUGCUUGGUGAACUUGCAGCAGAAGAACAUGAGUACCAAAACUAUUUGUGUCUGUUCUGAAGGAGCCUCCCGAGGAGAGCAAACACUGCAAACCUCUGCUAGAGAAACUAUGUUUGAGUCCCAGUAUCCCAACUCUCCCACGUACUUGCUGGCUAUUCUGGGGUAAGUUAUUUGAUCUUCCUAAGUUUGCUUGUUUUGAGUACUGGGAUAAUAGAUUUAAUAAUUUGCCUAGUGUCAAUUACAUAACUUCUGAGACCACACUUGUUGCAGCUUCCUCAUGGUUCCCUCUAUGUUACAGAUGUUCAACAAAUAACAAUAAUAACUACAAGAAUAU
rnacentral:lncRNA from 1 species